UUCUAAUCAACAGCUUCACUGAGACCAUACACGUUGGGGUCAUUGCUUGGAGAAGAAUCCAUCGCUUUUUUCUCUAAAAAAGUGUCAACCCCAUACUAGAAAGCACUAUCUGCUGGAAUUCCUUUUCUUGAUCCUUACUUAAACAAAGAUGGAUUAUUUGAUUAUGGGCUUAAUUUCGCGUUUGCCGGAGCUACUGCCAUGUCUGCAGAAGAUUUAGCCAAGUGGAAUGUUUCUUUUGUGCCUACCGGCAUAUCUUUAAGUAUACAACUUGACUGGAUGUUUAGCAAUUUCAAUGCAACUUGUCAUGGUAACAAAGGUUAGCAUCUUUCCUAUAUAUAUAUAUAUAUAUGUUUGUUGAUAUAGGAUGUGGUGGAAGAGGUUGAAGGUGGCUCACACGUGAGUGUCAAGAGCUGCUAGCAGAGGUUGAAGAUAGAUUAUUCUUGUAGACUUAAUGGUCGAGUGAUGGAGCCUCUACUAGAUGUGAUAGGAACAGGUCCUGAGUGGAUCUUGAUAUGACCUUGUGGUGGGUCGUGUGACAAGGCACGUGAGUGUCUUUAGUUGGUUGAGCUAUCAUGCAGGCGAGACCUCCAUGAUCGAGCGGUUGGUCUAAUGAGGCCUCCUGGUGAGGUAAUCAGGUAUAAUAACAAUGUUCAGAAUGGAUUAACACAAAUAACCACUUGAGGUGUUAUAUUUGGUAGAUUGCUUCAAGAAAAAUGGAAAAGCUCUUUUCAUGGUUGGGAUGCGAAAACCCUAAUGAACGGCUUAGUUGGGAUGGAGUUCAUUUGACACAAAGAGCAUAUGAGUUAAUGGCAACAUGGCUUGUACGUGACAUCUAUCCGAAACUUCAAUGUGAAUACAUUGUUUCAUAUAGUUCUGCUGUCUAGUUCCUGUAGGAAUUAGUGGGGAUGUUUAUGUUUCGAACUUUCUGUCAUCGACACACUCAUCUUUUGGUUGGUCACGAUUUGAUUUUGUUCUGUUUCCUCUCUUCUGUCCUUGUAUCAUUAUUUUCUACAAUCCAAUACGGAAUAUAAGAUGUAUUUUCUACAAUUCAAAGUAUAACCUAAAGUUUUCCAUUCCCAUUGUAGCUUCCUUUGAUUGUUUCUUGGGGUUUGGUAUAGGAUGCUAUCGCUUUAUUGUGCUUUACCCUAUUUUAAUUUUCAUUAUAAAGCCAAACAUGCUUCAU